ACACACGUCCCUGCUAUUACACGGAUAGGUUAUGAUUGUUUUUUUUUCUUUUUUUAAACGGUCGCGCGCGACUCACGCGAGUGCAUGUGUGGAGUGCCAUAUGUUUGUACAAGGACGCACCAUCGUGCACUUUCAAGACCGCGAGCGGCGUCACGCAAGUCGAAUUUAGCUCCUGCGAGACCAAACUGUUUUCCGCGUGUCGAAAGAGCGGCGAAUUCCUACGCUGGGACCUCCGUAAUCCUGGUGACGUUCUUCAUUCGUUCGAGGGGAGACAAUCGGAUACCAAUCAAAGGAUACAGUCUAACGUUACGUGCAAUGGCAAACAGAUGAUCUCUGGUGGUACUGAUGGAAAUAUUACUGUAUGGGAACUGCCAGACGUCACGGAAUACGGUGAAAAUUUGAACCCAAAGUACAAGAUAAAAUUAUCUGAGGAUUGUAUAAAUGGAAGGAGCUUGCACAAAACUUUACCAAUAGUAGCAACCAGUUUCGGACAAUGUGGUAUCAAGACCGAGCACAGAGACAACAGCGUAAAAUUAUGGGGGGCCCUUUGACAAGACAUCACGCGACUGUAAACAGACCUGUAAAUACUUGAUUUUGUGCCUCCGUUAUCAUUGACAGUACUCGUGCUGACUUUAUCCAAGAAUUUGUGGAUAAAAAGGACAGGACAAUUUUGCCAACACUGACAAUAAGCGACAGAACAGUCUG
rnacentral:misc_RNA from 1 species